GCCGGAGUGGCGGAAUGGCAGACGCAGGGGACUCAAAAUCCCCCAUCCUACGGGAUAUGAGGGUUCGACUCCCUCCUCCGGCA
rnacentral:tRNA from 1 species